CGUAGCCGCGGUAAUACGUAGGUCCCGAGCGUUGUCCGGAUUUAUUGGGCGUAAAGCGAGCGCAGGCGGUUAGAUAAGUCUGAAGUUAAAGGCUGUGGCUUAACCACAGUACGCUUUGGAAACUGUUUAACUUGAGUGCAAGAGGGGAGAGUGGAAUUCCAUGUGUAGCGGUGAAAUGCGUAGAUAUAUGGAGGAACACCGGUGGCGAAAGCGGCUCUCUGGCUUGUAACUGACGCUGAGGCUCGAAAGCGUGGGGAGCAAACAGGAUUAGAUACCCCAGUAGUCCCUGUCUCUUAUACAC
rnacentral:rRNA from 1 species